UCUGAAGAUGUGACACUGAAGACUGGAGUAAUGAUGCUGAAAAUUCAGCUUUGAUCAAAGGAAUAAAUUACAUUUUAACAUAAUAUUCACAUAGAAAAGAGUUGUUUUGAAUUGUAAUAGUCACAGUGUUGCUAUUUUACUGUAAUUUGAUUCAAUAAAUGGAGCCGUGGUGAGCAUAAGAGAUUUUUUAUAAAGGCAUAAAACAUCUUACAGACCCCAAACUCUUAAAUGGUUGUGUAAAUUACAGUAAUGAUGUUCCUCCCAGUUAAAUUUUAUUAAAAUGUAUUAAAUGUUACUCUGGCAUAUGCAGUCCAUUCUAUAGAGACUGUGUCUGUUCCCCAAAAACAGACAACAAAUAAUAUGUUUAUUAAGGGAUCUAGAAAAAUUAUUUCAGUUUAAACCUACUAGAUUAAAAAUAGUACUCAAUGUACUCCAUUGAUGAAAUAGUAAAAAGUGCACAUUGCCUGAAAUGAUAUGAACAGCAGCUAUGCUAAUCUUUCUCCCUUUGCCUUCCUGUUUCUGCAAAUGUCCAUCCCAGGGUUAUUAGAAACUGCACAGCACAGGACUUGCAGGACUUGUGAGGACUUCAGAUGAUACCAGUACUCAAAAGACCUUAGAUGAUGGCAACUAUAGAUGGACAUACAAACUACCGCCACUGCAAAAAAGAUUCUAAUUUGAAAGAAGUUUAUAAUGCAUGUUCGCUACUCCCAAUUCAGAAGACUGAAUCAGCCUGUGUAUCUGAAUGUUUCUCAUACUCACUCCUCUCUGCCGCAUCUGAAUUUAGC